GUUGGCCUUACACCUGCUGCGCGCUAUGCAUUUUAUAUCAGUUGAAAUAUAAACAGGCGCGGCUUUCUUUGUAGUCAAAGACUCAUAGUCAAGUUGUCAGAGAACGGUCUGCCCGAUUACUCUUGCGGUCCCGUUUCUGGCGACGGAUUAAAAAGGAUUUCGCGUACUUUAUCAUCAUGUACAUGUAACAUCGAAGCAUCAACUUAGUUUGGAUGUUAUAGCGUCGUCAAACCUGAUAACAUAUAGGUCAGUGAACUUCUUGCACUUUCUCUGCUUUUCACACUCUAUUGUUACUGACGGUAUUUAUUGUUGAAUUGACGGUGGACCACAGGACUGAGGACGUUAAGGAAGGGAAACGCGUUUUGUCUAGUGAAUAUAUUUACGAGAACUCGUUGACUUCAAUGCUGACAACUUGUACGGAAUGCUCGGUUUUUACGCAUUAAAACCAUCGCUGAAAAUGGGAAACGAAGGCGCCAGAAACAACACAAAUUCUCCAGAAAACGUUUUCAACAGCAUACCUCGAAAAAUGGUUUUAAAAGUCCGACUUUUUCCAAGAGAAUCUCAGCCGUCGUCAUGUACCAGUUGGUGGACAAUAACUGUUAAAGGAAAGGGGUUUUUUAAGCGUGAUAAACACAGCGUUGAUGUUAUCGCAAAUGUCGGUACAAAAACCUUUCAUGCAAACGACGCAAAGUUUUGCAUGAACAACGAACAACUCAUUUUUCACGGUCGUCUUGAGGACGGCACGAAAGAAGGCAGGCAUUUUGUUCUACGACUGCGUGAAAGCAAUCCACGGCAGAUGUGUUCAAACGAAUACUCUUUAUAUGAUGGCACACUUGCAAGAUCUUCUGUACCUUUUCUCCCAAAUGAAGAGUGCGGUUAUGAAGUAACUCAUGAUGCUGUUGUUUACCCAGAAUAAUCCUCAAAACUGACAUUUUUAUAACAGAAAUUGCUCCCUGAGUCGGUUCCUGAUUGGGGCAUUACUCCUCUAUCGAAAUUCGAUGACAUUAACUUUUCAAAUUUGACGUCAAAUUUAAUUCGUUAUCGUUGCAACGAAGAUGACAUUAAGUGUCUUUAUAAAGACCAAAGAAUUCUGAUUAUUGAUGCGAUCCACUACGAAAAGCCACGUCUUUAUUAAGUUCUGAGAACGUAAUUGGUGAUUUUCAUUGUUGAUAGUAAUGAUUCUCUGUAAAAAUCUUUAAAUUAAUGCAAUUGUAAUAUUGUGUAAGCAAUGAAUAACACUUGUCAACGGUCACAGGUUGAUAUAUUUUGUAGAAAAUAUUCAAUUAUUUGAAUUUACUUCCUUAACUUCUGCUAAGUUGGAAAAAUACUUAGCAUUAGGAGCUAGAGCAUUAUUUGUAACUAAAUUUCAGUUUAUCCUUUAUUAAAAGUAUUUAUUUGAAGUUAAA